GAUCCUGGCUCAGGAUGAACGCUGGCGGCGUGCUUAACACAUGCAAGUCGAACGGAACUCCUGUGAACGAGGUUUCGGCCAAGUGAAUAGGAUGUUUAGUGGCGGACGGGUGAGUAACGCGUGAGUAACCUGCCUUGGAGUGGGGAAUAACACAGUGAAAAUUGUGCUAAUACCGCAUAAUGCAUUUGGAUCGCAUGAUUCUGAAUGCCAAAGAUUUAUCG
rnacentral:rRNA from 1 species